GAUGAACGCUGGCGGCGUGCUUAACACAUGCAAGUCGAACGAAGCAUUUAGAACGGAUUACUUCGGUUUGAAGUUCUUUAUGACUGAGUGGCGGACGGGUGAGUAACGCGUGGGUAACCUGCCUUGUACUGGGGGAUAGCAGCUGGAAACGGCUGGUAAUACCGCAUAAGCGUCCAAUGUUGCAGGACAUGGGGUGAAAACCUCCGGUGGUAUAGGAUGGACCUGCGUCUGAUUAGCUAGUUGGUGAGAUAACAGCCCACCAAGGCGACGAUCAGUAGCCGACCUGAGAGGGUGACCGGCCACAUUGGGACUGAGACACGGCCCAGACUCCUACGGGAGGCAGCAGUGGGGAAUAUUGCACAAUGGAGGAAACUCUGAUGCAGCGACGCCGCGUGAGUGAAGAAGUAAUUCGUUAUGUAAAGCUCUAUCAGCAGGGAAGAUAGUGACGGUACCUGACUAAGAAGCUCCGGCUAAAUACGUGCCAGCCGCCGCGGUAA
rnacentral:rRNA from 1 species